ACUUGGACAUAGCUUUCCGUAAAAUACAAUGCAAAAACAAGUGUGUGAUUUCGUAGUAGAGACGUGAGUGGAUUAUGAAAGGGAAAGGCAAUAAUUAUGUGUGCUUGUCACAGUAUAAUUGAUUUGGAUGCAUUUAUAAUUGAUUUAGAUACAUAACUGGUAAGUGAGCAGUUGGAGUAAAGCGUAUUUAGUGUGAGAUAGAAUUAUAUGAAAUUUGAGUUGUUGUUCUGCUGUUCGAUGAAUUUGUCUCUGGCCACCGCCCUUCCCUGCGCCUGUGCCUGCGGCGUUCCGUCCCCAUCGUCCUGGCGUCUGGCUUGUCGCCCCGUUGAUUCUCACGCGCCGUCUCGCCAUUCCUCAUUGAAGGGCAGUGUUAGCACUGGAAGCCCUCGUGUUGGAGUCUGACGACGAGGAUGAGAGCGAGGAAGCGGAGGAGUCUGGAGCAGACUUGUUCCAGGGUGAGAUGUGGGCGGGGAUCGCCGACGACCAGGUGUCCACCCACCUCGGGAUCCAUCGGAUCUCGCUCGGCGUACCAUACCAGCGUGAUGAGCUAUGGCGACUGCGGGUCCAGCUCCGGCACCGGUACCGGUGCGGGCGUGGAGUCCGUCUCGCUAAAUCUCGUCGCUCACGCAGUGGCGGGCGUCGGGGACCUGCGAUAUCGUAAGUCGUGUUGCCUGGUUAGCCGGGUUUUCGUGUGCGCCAAGGCCGUGUCUUGCCACGCCUCGCGUGUGGUCCGCCGGAAGGCGCUCCCGCGGGUUCUGCGCGCGUUCCCGGCGCUCGCCUUGCUUGAGCUCGAGGAGCUGCCGGAGCAGUGGUGUCGUUAAAGGAUCGCCUGGAUCUGCAAGGAGCUCCUCGCCUACAAGCACUUAAACUUCAGCCGCAUCGUUUACAGUCUGCAAAAGUGGAUGACCCAGGACGAGGCCAUGUACGUCACCGUCCAGUGCCUCCGCAUCUGCCACAACGACGCUGCAUUCUGGGUUAAUAUUCACUGUUUAGCAUCGUGCGUUGUUGUUUCCUUCCUAUAGUUUCUUUUUCCAAAUUAAAUAUAUCUAUGUGUGUAUAAGCGAAAGUUAUUGCUCACUGACUGUUCGGUGAAUUGUCUGUAUCAGUAGAUGCUUUGGAGAAACUUCAAAGUGGCUUCCUCAGUAGCAGGAAGUUAUGAAGCCACCAAAACUUGUGAGCACCAAGCUGGGUGAAGGGCAACGUGAGAUUUUGGCCGACUUGCUCUUUGGAGGCACUCUAACAGAAUCUUAUGCAUAGAGGGGAUCUACAUUGCCAACUUUAAGUUCUAGGAAGAUUCUAAUGCUCAUUCAGUUCUAAGGGUGCAUAUUCAUGAACAUUUCUUUGAAUGGCUGUUUUCAGCAUGCAGAUCAGUAAAUAGAGACAGGGAGAUGCCUUAUCGAUUUUUAACCAUACCUCAUGCACAUUUUGGCUUCUUUGCAGAUUAGCUGUUUCAUAAAGGCCAGCUUGUUGGAGACAAUAUUAAAAUAGAAGACAGAAGCAAGUACAGUGAAUAGAUCUUUGAUGGAUUGGGCAUGAGUGGUAAUGGAUCUAAGAGCUGGCUGCAUAUCUUCGAAUAGUUGGUAUGCGCAAUCACAAAGUUCUUCGCAUGACUGCAUACAUUUCUUAUGAGCUGUGAACUUAGCAUUGUAGAAAUCUUUAAGCUCUAAAAUCAUUAGAUAACUGAAAUCUGGCAUAGAGACCAUAUUUUCCAAGCUGCUAAGAUCAUGUACGUGAAUUCGUCCUCCUUGGGUUGUAUCAGCUGCAUACACAUAGUAGACAUGAGAUGUGUUUGUAAUAUGGUGGGUCAUAUAAACACAUGGUGAGUGGAGGGAAUAUAAAAAAGUUGAGAACAAUUUUAAGUUGGUUAUGCACCUGUAGUGGAGGAAAUAUUGUGGUGCUCUUGAAUUAUUUUACGAAUGUAUUGCUGCGACACUUUGCCAUGGCCUAUGAGAUUGUUCAUGUAAAUCUUGGGUUGCCUCGGUGGAAUAACUGUAGUAGUAGCUGUAAUGUAAGCGUAUGGAAAAAGCUUGAUAAAAUACUCAAUACAAGAAGCUGCCUUUGUUUACAAAAAGAGUGUGUGUUGUAUGUGGCUAUGAUUAUGUAGAGGCAAAAUUGUAUGUAGCGUACCUGUGUCAGUGCGUCGAAUGAUCCAAGGUAGGUCAAAAUUAGCAUGCUCAGGACACCAUGGCACCAUGUCUAGAAUGAUAUUUGCUCGUUUUAUCAUUCGAGAGUAAAGAACAGCGAGUUGGAUGUCAGAUGAACCUAGACCGAUAGUGAAAUUGGUAGAAGAAAAUCCAAUGCUGAGGAUGUUACGAUAUUGUUGAAGUGCCUCUGUAAUAAGUAUGGCGAUAGUAUAUGGACUAAAACUGCAUGGAUCACCAAGCCUAAUUCUUGCGAUGAUUGAUGUGUCCCGUCGUGAAGCUGCUGAUGGAAAGUAUAUGGAGAUGUAUUAGUUACAUGAUUGUAAUGGUAGUAAUAGACAGAAUUUAAUUUAGAUUUUGUACUUUGAUCCGACGCCAUUACAAUUCCGUGGAUGAUUUGGAUACAGUAUUUGGGUUCUCUGUUCAACAUGAAAAACAUGGAAUCAUGUUAUGCUACAGAGAGUAGUUAGUCAAUAUUAAAAUAUAAAGCGUAGGGUAUUAUAUAACUUAGUAUAUGAUUGUUUGCUAUAAUGCCUUUAUUGUUUUCGAUGUAAAGAAGUAGCAUGCAAUUUGUAGAAGGAAAAGAAUAAAUGCAUUUUUUUAUGCUAUGAA